rnacentral:pre_miRNA from 1 species
UGUCUCCCAGCCCAAGGUGCAGUGCUGCAUCUCUGGUCAGUUGUGAGUCUGAGAUGAAGCACUGUAGCUCGGGAAGGGGGAAUA